ensembl:lincRNA
CAUGGGUGACCUGACUAGUGAAGUGGUGGCGUCCAUGUGCCCUGGGGCAGUAUCUCCAAAAACAAUAGGGCUGAGCCUACCACAGAGGAGGAAAGUAAGCCAGGAAAACUCGUACAGCUGUCAGAGUUUUACAACCAAGUCCAUGGGAAAUCUGGAGGUGACAUGGAACCUUUCACCGAGGCUCAGACCACUUCACAAUAAAAAUGGGAUUUCUGCUUUGGCUGCUUUUAGCCAACCUGCCUUGAGAAUCCUGACCUAGGAGAAGACUGGAGGUUGCUGGCCUGCGGAGAGGGCCUCACAGGAGCCUGUUUUCUCAAGUUUUCUUGCAUGGGCACAUGAGUCUUCAUAAGUCAACUUGAAUAAAGCUAAUUGCCC